rnacentral:lncRNA from 1 species
AUAUGAAAUUAUAACAUUAAUUCCCACCUAUGUUAAUUUUGCCAUUGACUUAUGAACUAAUUUUCAAAUUUAUUUUGAAAUUAAUCAUACCUUCUAGUUCAAGGACCUUCAUGGAUUCUGAAUGUAAAAGAAUCCCAAUGAUUUUAUCUCUUCAGAAAACAUAAAUAUAAAUUGUAUUCAAAUAUGCAUAUUACACAAAGAUGCAUUACACAUAUUGCAAGAGACAUUCACACAUAUUUUUGGUUGGUGAUUUAGCCUGAAUUUGCUAACAAUGGCAUGGUGUCUACUUUGAUUUUGUUUAGCUGGAAUAAUCAAGUAUUAGUCCAUUCUUUCACUGCUAUUAAAUACCUGAGACUGGGUAGUUUAUAGGGAAAAGAAGAUUAAUUGGCUGAAGGUUCUGCAGACUGUAUGAGAAGCAUAGUGGCUUCUGAGAAAACCUCAGGAAAGUUAGAAUCAUGGUGGUGUAGGAGGACUAGCCACAGACAAAACCACUCAGACACCGGGUUAAGAAGGAAGUGGCUUUAUUUGGCCAGGAGCAUCAGCAGACUUGCAUGUCAAGAACUGAGCUCUCUGAAGAAAGAGUUCCUGGCCCUUUUAAGAACUUACAACUCUAAGGGGUUCACGUGAAAGGGUUGUGAUAGAUUGACAUUCAGAGAUAGCAUAUGUGAUUAGAGGGGGGCUAAUCUUUAACCUCUCUCUUCAUUCCCCCAUUUGAGAACCUUACUCACUAGUGGGAGGUCUCACUCUCAUCUUCACUACCCAGGUCUUUCUGCAAGACAGAUCGACAGUGAUUCAUGUAAUACACUUGUGUAUUACAAGACAUUCAUGUAAUACAUUUGUGCUGAAGUUUUCUGAUGAACCAAGGUAGUAACAAAACUUCUUAGAAGUUGGAGAAAUAUGGGUAACAAACAAAGGAGCAAUAGGAGGGUUGCAGCUGGAGAUCUGGGGAGGAGCUGGUGUUUUUUAGUUUGAGGGUCAUGCAGCUAUAGACCCUGGGAGGAGCAGGAGUUUCUUUAGUUUGAGGGUUGGGCAGCUGCAGAACCCGGGAGAAUCUGAUGUUCUGGUUUGAGGGUCCUGCAGCUGGAGACCCAGAGAGCAGCUGGUGUUUCUUUAGUUUGAUGGCCGUGCAGCUGUAGAACCCAGGGGGAGCUGGUAUUUUUCUAGUAUGAGUGUCCUGCAGCUGGAGACCUGGAGAAGAGCUGAUGUUCUAGUUUGAGGGUCGUGCCGCUGAAGACUCAGGGAGAAGCUGAUGUUCUCGUUUGAGGAUACUGCAGCUGGAGACCUGGAGAGGAGCUGAUGUUAUUCUAGUUUGAGGAUCAUGGAGCUUGAGAUCCACAGAGGAGCAGGUAUUGUUCUAGAUUGAGGUUCAUGUAGCUGAAGACCUGGGGAGCAGCGGGUGUUUUUUAGUUUGAGGGUCAUGCAGCUGUAGAACCCGGGAGGAGCUGGUGUUUUUCUAGUAUGAGUGUCCUGCAGCUGGAGACCUGGAGAGGAGCUGAUGUUGUUCUAGUUUGAGGGUUGUGCAGCUGAAGACUUGGAGGGGAGCUGAUGUUGUUCUUGUUGAGGGUCUUUCAGCUGGAGACCCAGAGAGGAGCUGAUGUGGUUCUAGUUUAAGGGUCAUGGAGCUGGAGACCCAGAGAGGAGCUGGUGUUGUUCUGAUUUGAGGUUCAUGCAGCUGGAGACAUGGAGAGGAGCGGGUGUUUCUUUAGUUUGAGAUUCAUGCAGCUGUAGAACCGGGGAAGAGCUGGCGUUUUUCUAGUAUGAGUGUCCUACAGCUGGAGACCAGGAGAGGAGCUGAUGUUCUAGUUUGAGAGCCAUGCGACUGGAGAUGCAAAGAGGAGCUGAUUUGGUUCUAGUUUGAGGGUCAUGGAGCUGGAGACCCAGAGAGGAGCUGGUGUUUCUUUAGUUUGAGGGUCAUACAGCUGUAGAACCCAUGAGGAGCUUGCAUUUUUCUAGUGUGAGUGUCCUGCAGCUGAAGACCUGGAGAAGAGCUGAUGCUUUCAAUUGAGGGUUGUGCAGCUUAAGACUCAGGGAGGAGCUGAUGUUCUAGUUUGAGGGCCAUGAGCUUAAGACCCGGGGAUGAGCUGAUGUUGUUCUGGUUUGAGGGCCGUGAUCUGGGGACUUGGAGAGGAGCUGAUGUUGUUCUAGUUUGAGGUGCCCUGCAGCUGAAGACUCGGGAAGGAGCUGAUGUUGUCCUUGUUUUACGAUCUUUCAGCUGGAGACUCAAAGAGGAGCUGAUGUUGUUCUAAUUUGAGUGUAAUGGAGCUGGAGACCCGGGGUGGAGCUGAUGUUGUUCUAGUUUGAGUGUUGUGCAGCUGGAGAUCCAAGAAGGAGCCGGUGUUGGUGUUCUAGUGUGAGGGUGUGGAUCUGGAGAUCCAUGGGGGAGUGACGUUCUUCUAGUUUUUGGGUUGUGGUGCUGGAGACCCAGGGAGGAGCUCAUGGUGUUCUAGUUGAGGGUCGUGGUGCUGGAGACCCAGGGAGGAGUCGAUCCUUCUGUUGUUUAAGUCUGAAGGUCAUCGAGCUGGAGAUCCGGGGAAGAGCUGGUGCUGCGGUUCAAGUCUGAGGGUCCUGGAGCUUGAGACCCCAGGAGGAGAUGGUGCUGCCACGAAUGUCUUAGGUUGUAAAGCUGGAGACCUGCGAAGGAGCCGGUGUUGCUGUUUUAGUGUGAGGUUUGUGGAGCUGGAGUCCCAGGGGGAAAAUGGUGUUUUUCUGGCUUAAGGGUCAUGCAGCUGACCCUCAGAUGACCUCAAACUAUAACAACACUGCUCCACCCUGGAUCUCCAGCUCCAAAAUCCUCACAAUAGAAAAACAUCUGCUCCUCCCUGAGUGUCCAGCUCCACGAUGCUCAAACUAGAUUAAAAUCAGCUCCUUCCCAGGUGUCCAGCUGCAUGACCCUCAAACUAGAAACACCCGGGGAGGUUUUAUUAGUUUGCUGCUGUUUUUCUAGAUUGAGGGUCAUGCAGCUGGAGACGUGGGGAGGAGCUGAUGUUGUUCGAGUUUGAGGGUCAUGGAGCUUGGAGACCCAGGCAGGAGCUGGUGUUUUUCUAGUUUGAGGGUUGUGCAGCUGGAGACCCAGGGAGAAGCUGAUGUUGCUCUUAUUUGAGAGCUGUGGAGCUGGAGACCUGGAGAGGAGCUGAUGGUGUUCUAGUUUGAUGGUUGCAGAGCUGGAGACCCAGGGAGGAGCUGUUGUUUUUCUAGUUUGAGUUUCGUGCAGCUGAAGACCAUUGGAGGAGCUGAUGUUCUAGUUUGAGGGUUGUGCAGCUGGAGAUACAGGGAGAAGGUGGUCUUGCAGUUUAAAUGUGAGGGUCUUGGAGCUGGAAUCCAUGGGAGGAGCCAAUGCUGCCACUGAUGUCUUAGGUUGUGGAGCUGAAGACCCGCAGAGGAGCCAGUGUUGGUGUUCCAGUGUGAGGUUCGUGGAUCUGGAGACCCACGGAGGAGCAGGUGUUGGUGUUCUAGUGUGAGGGUCAUGGAUCUGGAGAUCCAUGGGGGAGUGGUGUUCUUCUAGUUUGUGGGUUGUGGUGCUGGAGACCCAGGGAGGAGCUGAUUCUUUUGUUGUUUAAGUCUGAAGGUCGUCAAGCUGGAGAUCCGGGGAAGAGCUGGUGCUGCGAUUCAAGUCUGAGGGUCCUGGAGCUUGAGACCCCAGGAGGAGAUGGUGCUGCCACUAAUGUCUUAGAUUGUAAAGCUGGAGAUCUGUGGAGGAGCUGGUGUUUCUGUUCUAGUGUAAGGUUUGUGGAUCUGGAGUCCCAGGGGUGAGCAGUGUUGUUUUAGUUUGAGGGUCAUGGAGUUAGAGACCCGGGGAGGAGCUGAUGUUGUAGUUUGAGGGUCGUGCAGCUGGAGACCCAGGGAGGAGCUGGUGUGUUUCUAGUUGGAGGGUUGUGGAGCUGGAGAUUCAC